GCAGAAUUGAAGCUGCCAGAUUAAGUGUAACUAUAUAAUAACUAGUGGUAUGGGGUUUUUUUGAGCUCAUGAUUCACAGUACGAACAAUUGGCCCCUGAUAAACAGGAAAUGGAGUGGAAGACAUUAUGCAAUGCAGGGUUUCCGUGCUAAGUGAGUGAAUUCCACGCUGUGCUCACUGCACCGUCAACAAUUCUAAACUUUUUUUUUUUAAUUUUAUUUGCAUAUGCUGUGCAUAUCAUUUAGUGCUGAUGCAAGUGAUGGCCUGAUCGUUGCAUAUUUAGGAUUUGUAUUUGCCUGUGAAAGUGGUAAAACAUGUUUACUAAUAAAUACAGGGGUUUAUUAACCCCUUCAGGACGGAGUCAAUAGUCCACGUUCUGAUCAAAACAAAACGUAAACAAAAACUGGAAAUUGCGCUAUAUGUCUGUUCACCCGUAAUUCACCGCUGUCACAUUAAGUUCACCCACACUUAUUAUAUAUCAUUUUGUUCAGGAGAAACAGGGCUUUAAUUUAUCAUUAACUAUUCAUAUAUGGAACAUAAUUUAUUAUGAAUAAAAUUUAAAAAAAUGAGAGAAAAUAAGAUUUUUUUAAAAAAAUUUGUAUUUUCGUCUGACAUUUUAGCUGUUAAUGUCAUAACACUGUUAGGUUCUAAACUUUCAACAAUUCUAAACUUUUUUUUUUUAAUUUUAUUUGCAUAUGCUGUGCAUAUCAUUUAGUGCUGAUGCAAGUGAUGGCCUGAUCGUUGCAUAUUUAGGAUUUGUAUUUGCCUGUGAAAGUGGUAAAACAUGUUUACUAAUAAAUACAGGGGUUUAUUAACCCCUUCAGGACGGAGUCAAUAGUCCACGUUCUGAUCAAAACAAAACGUAAACAAAAACUGGAAAUUGCGCUAUAUGUCUGUUCACCCGUAAUUCACCGCUGUCACAUUAAGUUCACCCACACUUAUUAUAUAUCAUUUUGUUCAGGAGAAACAGGGCUUUAAUUUAUCAUUAACUAUUCAUAUAUGGAACAUAAUUUAUUAUGAAUAAAAUUUAAAAAAAUGAGAGAAAAUAAGAUUUUUUUAAAAAAAUUUGUAUUUUCGUCUGACAUUUUAGCUGUUAAUGUCAUAACACUGUUAGGUUCUAAUGCCAAAAAAUUACAUAUUUGUAAUUAGCGAUGUCUCACUAGUACAAUAGUACCCCCUAUUAACAGGUUUUAUGGUGUUUUGGAAAGUUACAGUGUCAAAUAUAGAAUGUUCCAUUUUCAAAUUGAAAUUUGCCAGAUUAGUAAUGUUACCUUUGAGACGGUGUGGUAGCCCAGGAAUGAAAAUUACCCCCAUAAUGGCAUGCCCUUUGAAAAAGUAGACAACCCAAGGUUUUUAGUAGCCACUUAGUCACAAACACUGGCCAAAGUUAGCGUUCAUAUUUGUUUUUGUGUGAAAAAAGCAAAAAACUAAUAUUUGGCCAGUGUUUGUGACUAAGUGGCUACUCAGAAAGACUGGACAUACCCCACUUGCAAUACGUUGGGUUGUCUACGUUGGCAAAUGGUAUGCCAUCAUGGGGGUAAUUCUCAUUCCUGGGCUACCAUACGCUCUCAAAGGCAACAUAACCAAUCUGGCAAAUUUCAAAGUCAAAAAAAUGAAAUGCAAGCCUUAUAUGUGACUCUCUAACUUUCCAAAACACCAUAAAACCUGUACAUGGGGGGUAUUGUUAUUCUCAGGAGUCUUCACUAAACACAAAUAUUAGUGUUUUAAAACAGUAAAACAUAUUACAACAAUAAUAUAGUCCAUAAAAGUGCAGUUUGUUUGUAAAAAAAUGCAAAAAAAGUAAUUUUUACUUAAAAUAUCAUUGUUGUAAUACAAUUUACCAGUUUGAAACACUAAUAUUUGAGUUCAGCGAAGUCUCCCGAGUAAAACAGUACCCCCUAUGUACAGGUUUUAUGGUGUCUUGAAGAGUUACAGGGUCAAAUAUAGCGCUUGCGAAUUAAAUUCUUUUCACUUUUUCCCUGUGUUGUCAGGCAUGUCAAUCAAAUUUUAAUUACCGUAUAUACUCGAGUAUAAGUCGAGUUUUCAGCACAUUUUGUGUGCUGAAAAACCCCCACUCGACUUAUACUCGAGUUAAUGUCUGUAUUAUGGCAAUUUACAUUGCCACAAUACAGACCAGGACCGCCGGGCUCAUUACAAGCCCGGCGGUCCUGUUGGGGGCUGACAGUGAGAGGUUACUUACCUUCCUGCAGCUCCUGUCAGCUCCCUUCUCCUCCGUGCAGCUCUUCUGACAGCUCCCACUGGAAGUCUCGCAAGAGCCGCGGGGUCACCGCGGCUCUCGCGAGACUUCCAGUGGGAGCUGUCAGAAGAGCUGCACGGAGGAGAAGGGAGCUGCAGGAAGGUAAGUAACCUCUCACUGUCAGCCCCCCCCUCCUGCACAGCCCAUCCACUGGACCACCAGGGAGUGAGAGCCCCCCUCCCUGGCCAGCUAACAAGCAGGGAGGGGGGACAAAAAUUAAAUUAAAAAUACAAAAAAAAAAUACAAUAAAAACGAUUAAAAUAAAAAAAAUUAAAAUAUUAAAAUAAAAAAAACUUAAAUAUUCAAAUAAAAUAAAAGAAAAAAAUUUAUAUUAAAAAAUAAAAACCUUAAAUAUUCAAAUAAAAGAAAAGAAAAAACUUAAUAUUAAAAAAUAAAAACCUUAAAUAUUCAAAUAAAAGAAAAAAACUUACAAUAUUAAAAUAAAAAAUUUAUAAUAAAAAUGCCCUCCUUCCACCCAGUUCACACACACACAAACACACACUCAUACAAACACACACUCUGCAUUAUAUACACACACACUCAUACAAACACACUCUGCAUUAUAUACACACACACACUCAUACAAACACACACUCUGCAUUAUAUACACACAUACUCAUAAACAAUCUGCAUUCUACACACACACUCAUACAAACACACACACACUCUGCAUUAUAUACACACAGUGUGUGCGUAUAUAAUGCAGAGUAUGUGUGUUUGUAUGAGUGUGUGUGUAGAAUGCAGAGUGUGUGUGUUUGUAUGAGUGUGUGUGUAUAUAAUGCAGAGUGUGUUUGUAUGAGUGUGUGUGUAUAUAAUUCUAAAAUCACAGAAUUUCAUAGUCCCAAGUUUUACCCUCGACUUAUCCACGAGGCAUAGCAUAUUUCACAAUUGUUGGUCAUAAAACUGCCCUCGACUUAUACAUGAGAUCGACUUAUACACGAGUAUAUACGGUAAUCAAAUCACAUAAUUAUGUUAAAAGAUUACUUAAAUAUACAUGUAGAAUUUUAAUAUAUAUGCAUUUAUAGGUAUUUAAAUUCUACAUGUAUACUAAUGUAAUCUUUUAUGUAAUUAUGUGUUUUUAUAUAUAUAUAUUCAAUAUUCAAAAUUUUAUUUAUUUUAUUCAUUAUUGUAAUUAUACGUAUGUGUGUGUGUAUGUAUGUAUAUAUAUAUAUAUAUAUAUAUAAUAUGUGUAUAUAUCUAUUAUAUAUAUAUAUAUAUAUGUAACUUCAUUCUAAGUGUAUUUUAAUACUAAUAUAAGUACUUAUAUUAAUAUUAAAAUACACUUUGUAUGACGUUAUAUAUAUCUAUAUAUAUAAUAUGUAUAUAUAUAUUACACAUAUAUAUAUAUAUAUAUAUAUACACACAUACAUAUAUUAUGUAUAUAAAUUUCUAUUUUAAUUUUACACAUGUCUAAUAUAUUUUUUACAACAGUUCUGCAGCUUUUGUAAGAAGUGUUUUUAUAUACCACCAGUUUUCCUUUAGGGUAUAUCUACAAAACGGUUACAAAAUAUAUAUAUUUUCCUUUAAAGGAACACUCAGGGCAGAUUAACAAUUUAAUCAAAAUGAAGUUGUUAUGGAGCCAGGAGGUUGCCUGGCUGGGGUGCCUUUGAAGAAAUGCAGAGUACUGCCAGGCAGAGGCGUCACUGAUUGGCUAGAGCAGUCAACUGACGCUCAAAGCCAAUCAGUAGCUCCUCAUUCAUAAAAAAAGGUUGCAAAGCUCCCUGCAACCUCCUGACAUCAUAGCAAUGUAACUUCAGUGAACGUGUUAUGGUGUGGUAACCUACUUGAGCCAGAGAUGAAACAAGGACACUCCAAAGGACUCCAGACACAUGUCAAUGAGGAACAAAGUGUCUUUAUUAGUUUGCAGCUGCAAAGUCCCAGCACCUGUAUCAUAAAAAACACGCUGUACUGGGCACUGGUCAGUUUCCAAACAAAUAAUAUAUACUGUAAAUGAUGUAUUCCAUACGUAUAGAGAGAAUACAGAAAGUACACCUACAUUACUAUGGUUACAUCCAAUUAUUAAACUAAAAUUUAUCUCUUACACAUGUUAUCUAAUAAUGGGCAUUCCUGACAUUCCACACUUGCGCCCUGGUCCAAGAUAGUUGCACAGUCGUUUUAACCAUGUGAGUACUGAACUUUUCUUGAACAUCCUGUAGCUUCUACCACAUUCCCCCCUUUGAUGCUUCAACACCUGGAUACAGGUGGCCGAUAUGCAUCAUAACCGGAAAUACCAUACCAAUCUAGUCUUGGGUUCUAGGCAAGCGAGGUUACACAGGAUUUUCUUGAUUAAGGGGUGUAUACCUCCAAAGGGCAAGGACAUUAGCUGCUGUUUUCUUUUCUAUAGUAGCGUCAAUUAUACUAUGGAGGGAACGGAGCAGCAACGGAAUCAAACAUGGGAGUAGCAUACAAAGUGCCAUCAGGAUUAGAACUCUCCCACUAGAAUUUUCAGAUUCCCAAAUGAAUCAAACUAUCCUGUGAACCAACCAUUAUGGUUUAGUCCGUUCCAUGUCUGUACUGGAACGUGGGCCACUGUCCUUAUUUUAUCAACAUUGUCACUUAUGGCCUUCCCUUCAUCAUCAAUCUUAAGGCAACAAUUAGACAAGUUAAACUUUCCGCAUACACCCUCUUCAGUGGCUAACAAAUAGUCUAAGGCUAGGCGGUUCUGAUAGAUAGCAGACCACAUUCUGGUAUUCUGUUUGGCCAAAAGAUUCAUUGGUUACAAUUUGAACUAUAUCUUGUAACCUGAUUAUUUGAUUCAACAUGUAGAUAGGGGUAUGAUAACAAUAAGUUCCAUCCUCAGCCCAUGUAGCAGGACCAUAAUAAUAAAUUAUUAGUUCAGGGGGCCACUCAUUAUACUUCCAUUGACCUAUCGUCAGUGUCCUUUGCAGCCUUAAGAGCUAUGCAUACAUCAAGGAUCUCGCCCUCCCUUAGUGGAAGCAAGAAGAAGGGAGGUUUCAAAGUUCCUAGAACACAGGCUCCCGACCAAUCUCUGGGGAGUUCAGAGAAGGCCUUAAGGCCACAAAUCCAAUACAUAUUAUUGGGUGCUAUCCAGGUGGACCUUGCAGACAAAUCGGUUCAUACAUCUUUUAGAUGUGGGUAAUUACCAAGGGGACUAGGGGAUGGUUCAAUUGCAUUGGUUGCGGAUCAUCAGGAGGUAGUCCCAUCAGAUGAAUUAUACGUUUGCUGCUCCAGACACGUGAGAGUAUAUACAAAACUCUCAAAUUCUGGACCAUAUCCACUUAUCCACUCAUUCUCAAUUAGGGAGUGCUUUAACAACCCUUCAGAUUUGGGACAAUCACAGGAUACUAUCCUACCUCUUCAUAAAAAGAUUCAAAAGCUGAUGGGUCUCAUUAUUUUAUUUUUUAUUUUUGAAUUCUUUAUUUUUGGUGCGUAUCGAGUUAUACAAAAGCCUGCCUUGUCACAACAGCAAGGACGGGCACAAUCUUAGUAAUACAUUGUGACACUUAUCAUACAAUUAACGAGGUUUGCAAGAAACUGACAUCACUGUGAACAUUGUGCACAUUUUUAUAAGUGUAGUAGGGUUGUAGCCCCGGUUGAGGAGUCGAAGUAUUCUAGCGUGUUUGGGUCAUGUAAUGGUGAUCCUCUGCCAGGUCGGUAUAACGCAGUAUGUAUGGGCUAGCUAGGGUGAGUGGAUGCGGGGCAUUAACAUGCUGGGUGCUUAUAAGUAACGAGUGAAUGACGUGAGGGUGUUUGUAGAGUGCUGGUUUGUAGCUGUGGUGGAACCAGCCUCGCCACUGGGCAUUUGAGAAGACUGAUUGCCAGCCUCCUGCCAUGUGAGUAUGGCCCCUGUUAUGUUUUGCCUGUUCUCCUGUACUGCUGAGGUUUGCUACCAACUAGGUGGAUUUGGCUAUGGAGCUUGUCUAGUGACCUCUGUUGGUAGCAACAGCAAUAUGCACUACCUGAAUAGCAAGACUGGUUCAUUUGCAUAUUCAGGUAGAUUUGCAUAUAGCUAAUUCUGCAGGCACGUGAGAGAUUUUCUGUUAAUUAUUGUCUCCCCCACCUAAUUAAAAAUAUGCCAUUGUGUUAUAAUAAGUCACUGUAUGUUGCCUGCUAUGAUUUGACUGUUUGUAAUUUUAUUGAGUUUUCACAGCAAUGUUAAUGUAAUGACCAUAUGGGCUAGUCCCAAGUAAAAAAAGAGUUUUAGACAGUUCUUCUUGACCCUCAACACGUAGUCUUGUCUCGUGAUUGGAGGGGACAGCUAUACUCACCCUGGGGAUUGCUGUGCUCUGCAUACUCCCCUGAGCUUUAAUCACUUAGCUCUUUUAAGAGCUGUUCCUGUUACGCUCUCUUUGGAGGAGAGGUCUUCCCCACACGGUCCUGGAGGACAGAAGCUGAUGCAGGGUGAAAGACAGCAACACUCCAGUCAAGCUACAGCGGUUGCAGAGUCUGCAGUGGUUGUGGUGUCCGGUGCGGUGCUCGUGGUCCUCGGAGCAAGCUAGUAAGCGACAAUCAACGGAGGGUACUCGGUCGGAGUACGGGGAGCUCCGUUACAGUAGCUUAGUGGCUUAUGAGGGUUGGAUGUGAGGCAAACAUUUGGGGGUUGUACACCUCUGAUUGGUGUGCCUAAUGUGUAUGUGUGUUCGAAACAGGGCUUAAACUGCUCCGAGCAGGACCUGGUCAUGUAAGGUAUGAGUAAUAAAAGGGUAACAUAGUAGUGUUUUGGUAACAGAGAGAACUAAAUCAAAAAAUAUGAAUACAGAAUAUUGAUGAUCUGUUACAGGUUGUGGGUCUCAUUAUUUAAGACUUCAAUUUCAAUAUUGAAAUAUAGUAUGGUUCCCGGGCCAUAUAUCUGCAAACCAGGGAAGGUGCCUGGACCACAACUAAAUGUGUCCGUUAUUGUCUGCAGACUCGCAGGUAGGGUAUCUGAUCUAUAGGUUGCCCAACCCACAUGACUCCAGUAGGAGCAAUAGUUAUACCCACCAUUUAUGCAAUUCCUAUUCUUAGGGCACAUUUACUUAUUGUUUAAUGUAUAAGUCUUGUCCCAUGCUACCUCAGUACAGGUGGACUCAGAUCAUUUAUGCAAUAUUAAUAUCACCACAAACUCCAGAAGAGCAGAUGAUUCAGAAGAAGCUUCGACCGUGCGUCGGCACCUCAGCUUCCGGAUGUGAGGGCUGCAGGGUAAGGAGUACUUCUGAUUCUCUUCGGCUUCACAAGGUCUCCUUUUGGGGUCCUCAGCUUUCCAUCGAUGGCAGGUGGUCAGGCAUUAUUAUGGCCAUCAAAACACCUACUUGUAGAUAUUUUCUCCAAAAAGUAUCUUUAUUUCUUAAAAUGGAGUUUUAAAGGGUUGUCAAGAUCAACAAACGUUACUUCCCAUUGAGCAGAGGUAAGCUUGAUUCUAGAGUAGUAUAUCCAUGGGGUGAUCUCAGCAACUUUCAUGGUGUACUUCUUGGCGUGUGAUCUCUCCUCCUAUUUGGUGGAUAUCCCCUUUAAGGCCUAGGACAAUCAGUGGUGGUCAACCAUACAUAAUUUCAAAGGGGAGAGAGGGACUGAUGAGUUUUGUGGGGGAGCUCUUGACUUGGAACAACUGAGGCCGGUGGCUAAUUCCUGCAGGCACUUGUGUACAAAAGCUAAGCCAUUGUCAGACCCAAUCGUUAUUGGGAUUCCAUAUCUUGGCAUUAUUUCAGUAAGCAGGAAACAGACCUCUUUUUUCUUUUGUUGUUUCUUCUUUUCUAUUCUGGUGGGCUGGGCUUCUACCCAGUCAGACUAAGAGCAUACGUUGACAAGGAUAUAGCGGAAUUCACCAAAUUCUGACAUAACAGUAAAGUCAAUGAGCAAAUCAGAUACAGGUAAUGCUCCAAAAGGUUUGAUUCCCUGGUUGUUGGCUUGGUCCUUGUCAGGGCUAAUUUGACACAUUCCAUGCAUCCUCUGGCUACUGCUUGUGUUACUGUAGACAGGCAAUGUUUGCAGCCAAUGACGUAGAUACAACUAUUCUCCCAUCUUCUAAUUGGUACCACUUGUUAUUCAGGGAAUGGCCUGGUUCUGUUUUCCAGCCAUUUUGUUCAGCUAGGCUAUAGAGGGGUGACCAGUCAGAGAUGUUUACCAGGAACAGCAGGGCAAGGGUUGACUGAGGUACAGUCUUUUAUAGCGACAUGUUUUGCAGUGCCAUCAACCAGCCUGUUUCUAAUAGUCCCAUGGGCUUCGCCCUUCUGGUGGGCUUGGCAAUGGAUAAUGCUAACUUGGGCAAGAGCCCAGACCACUUCGAGUAGUGCCAAAAUUUCAGAUGAAUGCUUGAUGUCUUUUUCUCCAGAGUUGUAUAGGCCCUGUUCCUAGUACAGGGCCCCAUGGGCAUGAAUUGUAGGGCAUGCAUACUUUGAGUCAGUGUAGAUGUUGACACAUAGGCCCGCGACCAGUUGCAAGGCCCUGGUCAGGUUCUGGGAGUAAAGUGGCUAGGUUCAGUGAGUUGACAGAUUCACAGUGGUUCCUUGGGUUCUCACGUUCUUACAUAGCAUGGCUUGGUACUUUGUGGUUGGACAGCAUAUGGAACCCAAACAUAGAGUUCUUGUCCACAGCCACUGUUCUCAGACAACAGGGCCACUGGAACCCAUUGUUUGGACAGGUAGGCAACAGGCCACUGCCAUGAACCCAAGUACUGGGUGAGAACAUCAACAGCAGAUUUCCUCUUCUCCUGGACAUACAGGUAAAACACUCUUUGGUGAUCAGGAAGUCCAAGUACUGGUGCUUGAACCAAGGCCUCCUUCAGGUUUCUGAAAGCCGUCUGUCAGUUAAAUGUGCGACUACUUCGCACAUUUAACUCUCUUCUUCGCCCUGCUGUUCUUCCUCCACCUUCUAACUUGACUGCCUCAGACUUUGCAACUCACUUCACUGACAAGAUCUCUACAAUCAGAGAAGAGAUCUCUCAUCUUUCUUCUUCCCCUUACAAUACUUCCCCUAACUUCACUCCCUCUGCUGUUCUAUGUUCAUUCACACCCGCUACAUUGGAAGAGGUUUCUGCUCUGCUCCAGUCCUCCCACCCCACCACCUGCUCCCUAGAUCCAAUUCCCUCGCAUCUCAUCCGUACUCUGUCUUCUUCUCUUUCUCCACCUCUCACUAAAAUUCUCAAUCUCUCUCUCUCCUCUGGUAUAUUUCCAUUGCCCUUCAAACAUGCAACUGUAACCCCAAUUCUAAAGAAGCCCAAUCUUGACCCUAACUCCCCAUCCAACUAUCGUCCUAUCUCGCUACUGCCUUUUGCAUCCAAGAUCCUUGAAAGAAUUGUGUAUGCGAGAUUGACAGACUUCCUCGAGUCCAACUCUCUGCUAGACCCGCUUCAGUCUGGUUUCCACGCUAAGCACUCUGUGGAGACGGCACUGACCAAAGUAUCCAAUGAUCUACUCUCUGCAAAAUCUCGGGGUCACUACUCUAUCCUAAUUCUCCUUCACCUGUCUGCGGCUUUUGACACUGUUGAUCAUCAACAGCUUCUUCUCAUCCUCCGCAACAGCUUCUUCUCAUCCUCUACAAGAUAUUACUCUCUCCUGGUGCUCCUCCUACCUCUCCCAGCGUUUCUUUCUCUGGCUCUGCUUCUUCUCCCCAACUCCUCUCUGUUGGUGUCCCCCAAGGUUCAGUCCUUGGUCCCCUACUGUUCUCCAUCUAUACUGCCUCCCUUGGUAAAUUCAUUAGCUCCUCUGGCUUCCAAUAUCAUUUCUAUGCAGAUGACACGCAAAUCUACCUGUCCUCUCCUGAUCUCUCCAUGUCCCUCUUGACUAGUAUAUCUGACUGCCUCUCUGCUGGAUGGCUGCCCACUUCCUUAAACUAAACUUGACCAAAACUGAAAUUCUGGUCUUUCCUCCCUCAAUUGUUGUUACUCCUGUGUCUGUCUCCCUCCAAGUCAACGGUGCUACCAUCAGCUCCACCAUGCAGGCUCGCUGCCUAGGUGUUCUCUUUAACUCCAACCUCUCCUUCAAGCCUCAUGUUCAAUCUAUCGCCAAAUCCUGUCAUUUCCAUCUCAAAAACAUUGCGCGCAUCCGCCCCUACUUAGCGCCAGAUGCAACUAAGGUGUUGGUCCAUUCCACUGUCAUUUCUCACCUUGACUACUGUAAUCCGCUUCUCAGUGGUCUUAUGUGCUCCCAACGUGCGCCGCUUCAGUCCAUAAUGAAUGUGACGGUGAGGCUCAUCUUCCGAUCCGCCCGCACCUCCCAUGCCUCACCCUUCUGUCAGUCCCUACAUUGGCUUCCUAGAAAAUAUAGAGCUCAAUUUAAAAUUCUGGUUCUUGCUUUCAAAUCGCUACAUAAUGCUGCUCCCACCUAUCUAUCCUCCCUUAUACACAAGUAUGUCCCGUCUAGGCCCUUACGAUCUGCUGAAGACUUACGUCUAUCUUCUGUCCGUACUCCCACCUCUGAUACUCACCUUCAAGAUUUCUCGAGGGCUGCACUGUUCCUGUGGAACUCGAUUCCCUCCUCCGUUAGAUGCUCACCCAGUCUCCACUCCUUCAAAAAAUCGUUAAAAACCCACUUCUUCAUAAAAGCGUAUCAAUUGAACUGUUAAUAACUCCUGACUGAUUCCUCUUCUGCAACUGUCACUAGUCUAAUACUAUCCUUACCUUUUUGUGUCAUUUUACCUCACUCCCUCUAGCAUGUAAGCUCAUUGAGCAGGGCCCUCAACCCUUCUGUUCCUGUGUGUCCAACUUGUCUGGUUACAACUACAUGUCUGUUCGUCCACCCAUUGUAAAGCGCUGCAGAAUUUGAUGGCGCUAUAUAAAUAUCAUAAUAAUGAUAAUAAUAAUUAUUAUUUUCCCAUAAAAAUUCGUCAUGUUCAGGGCUGUUGCAUUGAUAGUGAGAUUCGGUAUCCAUCUGCGACAGAAUCCAGCAGCACCCAAACAUUCACGCAUUUUUCCGGUGACUGGUGGGUAUGCAGAUGCGGCACACGGCUUCUUUGUGUUCUGGACUAAGAUUACGGCUUCCCUCUGAGAUGUGCAGCAUAUUUGGGCUUUUCUUCUUGACUUCUUGAAUCUUUUCUUCCAUAAGAUUCAUAACAGUUGGUUAGUAGCUUGCAGGCAUUUGUUUUGAAAGGUGGCAGCAAUAGGAAGGUCAUCCCCAUACUGCAGUAGCAUACAGUGACCUGACUCAGGUGUGAAAUCUCACACAUUGUGACUGAGUACUUCUCUAGACAGGUUGGGGGAUUUAUUUGAAGCCUUGAGGCAGUCUUGUCCUGGUUAAUAGUCCCUUAAUUCUGGUGCUAGAAUCUUUCCACUGGAAAGCAAAUAUCCAUUGGCUCUACAGUUCAAGAUGUAUACAGAAAAAGGUGUCCUUCAAGGUUUGGAGGUGAAAUGGGUGGUUCUUCCAGGAAUAAAGGCCAACAUUUUAUAGGGGUUAGGCACCACCAGGUGAAUUGUCAUGACUUCCUUGUUGACUGCCCUGAGGUCCUGAACAGGUUGGUAGCCUGCCAUGCCCACAAAGUCAUCUCCUCUACUGGCUCAGUCAUAAGUCUGAUCAGGGGUGGCAAUUCUCUCAUGUUGGAUGUUUGCCGGCCAUCUUCUGACUUCAUAUUGUCUUUAUCUUCUUCACUUCACAUUGUCUUUAUCUUCUUCACUUCACGUGUCUUUCAUCUUCACUUAACGUGUCUUUCAUCUUCACUUCACAUUGUCUUUCCCUUCUGGUACUGGCUCUAGCGGACGGGGGACAUGUCUGGUUUUAGUUCAAUGUGGACCAGAUGCCUGUUUAGGGCAAGAACAAGGGAGUUUUGUUCGGCCCAUAUACCUGAGGUGUAUAUGAUUCCUGGAGGUAGUUUGGGUGCAUCCAUGAGGUCCUUAACAACAAAUAACCUCCAUUCUACCUCUUUUGGGACAGAUACAGAUAUGAUUCAGAGGCUAUGUGGGAGGUCAAGAACUGUGCUACCGUUUGGAGGAAAUGUGAUCUUUGCUUGGAAAUUGGAGAGGGCAUCUCUUCCUAGGAGUUAAAUGGGACAGUCUGGCAUGUACAGGAACUGGUGUUGAAUGACAUGGCCUUGCAAAUUGAAGGUUCUUUCUCAUAGCAAUAGUCUGGUGACAAGCUUACCAGUGGCCCUUAUUAUAGUGACAGUCUGUCCAGAUGCAGAGCAAUGGGUUUAGUCACGACAGAGUACUGGGCCCCAGUAUCGACCAUGAAGACUUUUCUUUCCCCUAACGGACUCAGUACAGGUGGUGUGGGUAUAACAGAUGGGGUAUACUUAGGUUAUUUAGAAGGUGUAUCUGAGGCAGGAAAGUCCUCUGUCAGGUCCUCCAGUGGAGGAGGAGGCAAGGGCAGGUUGGCUAUGUCAGGGUAAAUAGGGGAAUAGCAAUAGCCGAUGGAACAGGGGGGCGGAGAAGGCCAGCGGGCCCUGCAGACCCGUGUUAAGGAGGGUGUAAAGAAGGCCUCUGCUAACAGAAAAAUAGUUUCAUACUAUGAAAGGAUAUGAAGUAGUUAACUUUUCUUGUUCAUAUGUAUUUUUUGCUUAGAUAAGAUAAGACAAACUGUGUAUAAAUGCUAGCCCUGAAAAUACACUCAUUUGAGAACUUGUUAGAGCACUCUUUCGUGUCUGUCGUUAUUUGCUAAACAAGAACUCCAGUCAAUUGAUGUGGUGAUCGGAGAUUCCAGAACUGAGGGAGUUAAAGAGAAGUCGAUUAACCCUUUCAGCUUGGUGUUAGAAGUGGGAUGCAGCAAAGCCAUUGGGUAAGUAGCCUUUUUGUGUCUUAUUGACGCCGAUUGUCUAUGACCCCCUUUGGUUCAGCAAGUCUGUAUCCAGUAGAUAGGAAUGGUGUAAGGACUUUAGUUAUAUUGAGACUGUAAAUAGGUCUCCAGUUUAUUAGACAUUUGGUCUAAAUAUAUAGGGUUUUUUGUAGAACAAAAAAGAGAGAGAAGAUUCUGUCCCUACUACCAAUAUAAGGUACACGCAAACAGUUAAAAAUCUCGAAGAUACUUUAUUGUUAUAUGGAGAACAUAAAUCUAUAGAAAACCCCAGCGAUGACUACCUGACUAAACAAGAGUCAAUUAUGGCAGUCAAAGCAAGGAGCACACAAAAAAAAAAAUGGGGAAAUCAAAUAAAAUAAUAUAAUGGAUAGAGUUUACACAUGACAUAAAAGAAUGAAUAUUUGAUAGUGUCAGUAAAUCUAAAAUAGGAUACAGUACAAAAGAAUCCUACUGAGUGAGGCUGGCAAUUGCGUUCAAUUACUAAUAUAUUUGUAUCAAAAAAAUGUAAUAGAAUGCCCAGUGUCAGUCUAAUGUAACUACAAGGGAUAUUACUGCCUUCGAUGUCAAUUACAUCAUGUAUCCAAAAAUAAGAUACAAUUGAGAGAGUCCCUUCAGUGUAUUAAUAUCGAUAUAUGAGGCAAAAGGAUACACUACAAAGUAUCAAUGCAGUUCAACCACAGGAGAUUCUACUAUAAUAAAAUAUAAACUCUAUCUAUAAUAAACUUAGUGAAUAGACUUGUGCAAUAGUAAUCUCGUGAAAAGUUCUAGUAUAAAAACGAGAGCAGAUAUAACAGCAUGCUAAAUUAGUAUUCAAAUGAUCACUAGUAAAUUUAAUCAAUAGAAAAAUAGGAAGGACAAUGUUGUUUGAUAUAUGUAUGAUCCUAUGGAAAAAUUUGAUAUCUAAUAAUGAGGAAUCAAGUAGGAAUAGUGCCUUCAAGGGCACCAAGUAUAGGAUAGAAAAUGAAAUAAGAAAAUAGUCUUAAUGCUGAUAAAUAGCACACUCAAGCUAUACUGGAUGAAAGAUAAAUAUAUGUAUGCUGCAAGUUUAUGCACUAAUAGCUACUGAUAUUAUGAUCAAUAUAAAGGUCUGUAGUGUCCCACACUGUUGUUAACCCACUGAGCCCCGGAUGGGUAAAGAGUCAAUCAAAUCCGAGAAAUAUAUGUCUACUCAGGGAAAAAGGAAGAGACGAGUACUUGGGGACAAACAAACAGAGCUUAAUAGUAGCCAAAAUGUCUAAUAAAUCGUGCCCCGACGCGCGUUUCGCCUGACUUCAAGGCUCAUCAGGGGGAACUAGUCUCCCGGUGUGCAGGGGUUUAAAAAUCCCGCCCUUGAGUCUGAUUGGUUACAUUUCGGCUCAAGGGAUCGGGGCAUGUACGGUGGCCGGAAUGAUCCAAACAAGUGAUGCUAACAUAUUCAUCGGUUGUUAGUCUGGUUACAGAAAAUACCGUAACCAAGUGUAUGCCAAAAAUGAAUGGCUAAAUCAAUAAAUAAAUAGAUAAAUACAGGGAUAUGAAAAAAACAAGUUGAAACUUAAUCUUAUAAUAUAAUGAAGUAGAAAAAGGGUAUGAAGGAAUAAGAGAAAAAUUGAUUUACCGGCAUUUAUAUAGGUUGGUGAAUAAAAAUAUUCACAUUGGUAAUUUAAACCUAAUGACUAUAUUAUCGGAAUGGACCAAAUAGCUAGUAAUAAAAUAAAAUAAACUGAGAAAAAUAUGUAAAUACUGGAUCAAAAAAUCAAAGAAAAAAUGUAUAUAAUGAUAAAUAAAUUUAGAUAUCAAUACAGGAUCAAUAAAAGUAUCCCCAUAAGCCAAUGGUAUACUGUAAUGUCAUGGUUAAUAUCAUGUCAAAAUUGACAUACAUGUAUGCACUUGUAGGAGAGAAUUUAUAAGGAUAUAGUUCUCAUUUGUCCUUUGAUAGUGCCAGUUAAAGAAAGGAAUGAUAAUGAUCAAAUUCCCAGACAUUUUGAUGUAACAAAUGUAUAUUUAUCAAGUCUUAAUAAGAUUGUAAGCUAGUAAUUCUACAAGCAUUUAGAAUUAUAUAUGUAUAAAUGGUUUAUAGUUAAAUUCCUCGUUAAGACCUAAAGGGGCCAAGGUCUUAAACGAGAAAAUCCACUGUGAUUCUUUUCUGAGCAAGAUUUUGUUAAAGUCACCUUUCCUCGGGUUUGGUAGCAGUUUCUCAAUUGCCUGAAAUUUCAAAUUAUCAGGUUUCCCAUCAUGGAAAUUGAGGAUGUGUCUGGCAACCGGGGUGGGAGUGACAGUAUAGGGUUUUUGUAACCCAGGUUAGUAUCUAAGAUAGAUACAGGGUAUCUCAAGUAGAUACAGGUUUUUGAGACCAUAAGAGGUCUCCGGUUUAUUAUAGGGUUUUGGUAACCCAGGUUAGUAUCUAAGAUACAUACAGGGUAUCUCAAGUAGAUACAGGUUUUGAGACCAUAAGAGGUCUCCGGUUUAUUAAGACUAUAGGUGUUCUGAUGAGCACGGUUUAUAGAUCUAUAAGUAUACCCCAAACUUCUCCCGGUCACCUUUGUUUGUCUUAAGUGUUCUUUGUGGGUGAUUGUCUAUAUUGGGGACACACUUUGGUAAGUUAGUAGUGUGUCCGCCCUGAGUCAGCGGUAUGGGAAAUGUGAGUUCAGGUCCUGAGUGACCAAUAUAUAAACAUAUAUAAAUAAGAUACCAGUACUGUAUAUUAGAAAAGAACUGACUCGCAGGUUGCACCGGCUAGACCUACUUAAAUCUUUUGCUUUAUUCUGUCGCAUAGAAGUAUACGUUUAUUACUCUGUUUUAUUGUAAGUUAUUUCACAUGGGAUCUGUGUGCCUGGUAUGAUUGUUACUAUAAGCCCACUACACUUUCUAUGAGAGUGGGGUAGUGUAAAUGUGUUACAUUGUUUGCAUGAUGAGCUCAGUAUUUUUAUACUGAGACAAAAAGUCACUUCAUUAGUAUUUGAAAGUUAAUUCCCUGUAUGGGAUUAAUUGUAUAGAACAUCAAUCAGCACAUCUUCCCUGCCCUGUGUGUUUGUUGCAAAGGAUCCAUACUGUAAAUAUGAUUUGUUUGUAAAUAAGAGAGCAACAUUUACAUUUUCAGCGGUCCAACACAUGCUUCAUUUUGUACUGUAAGCUAACCUUUUUAUUGCUACAGAUGCUUUAAAUGAUCCAGUGCAAUACCUACUGCAUAUGUUUUGUGUCUUCUAUGUCUCACAUUAUUUGUGUUCUUUUAAAUUGUGGUAUAUAAUCUGGAUCAGAGAUCAUGGACAAAGGUUUCUACCUGUGUCACUAAGGCUCUUGGAGACUGACCAGUUUGCCAUGCCUUUUAACAUGGCAUAGUAUAAAUAUUUUUUAAGUCUAAGAUAGUUCUGAAAGAUUUGGGUGAAACCAUGUCUGUGUAAUCUUGUCCAGAUGUUUGCUCAAUUUCUAUAAAAUGUAAGUUGAUACAGCAUCAUCUCAGAUUAGUGAAUGGAAGUUUCAUACAAAUAUUUGAGUUAUGAGCGCGCUAUAUAAAUGGAUCCUUUCUUUAUAUACAAUACUAUAGUAGAUUAAAGUAAUGAAUUUAAUUAAGAAAAAAAACAUGUAUACAUAAGAAUCCCUAAAAUAAAUCUAAUACAAACUAAAAUUAGUAUACCUUACAAUAAUAUGUUCUGAGUACAGCUGUUAACUGUUUAUUCUGUGUAAAUGGUGAUUGUGAUAAUGUGUUAAGUGUGCAGAGUAAUUGGAAAGUGGUUUAAUUUAUAUGUUGGUGUGUUGUUUUAAAUUAUAUUUGAAUCAGUUUGUUUCAGUCUAGUGAUACUGAUAAAAAUGCCAGUCAAAUAACCUAGAAAAUAACAGUUUUAUUAGCUGUUGAAUACUAGCGUUUUGGCCAAGCGUAGUUGGAGUUGGAGUAGUUCUAUCAGCUCAGAGAGGCUCUGUGUUGUGGUCUGAUAUAGCUAUAUGGGAAUGGAGAUUUUGAGGUGUUAGUUUAAGACUGCUUUCAUAUUGUGUCUACCCGUGUUUCCUAGGAGGGACACAGAGUGUGUAGUUGCGUGCCCAUGAAUGUGUUUUCUGUAUUGGCAUAUCUGCUGGGAAUCCAUUAUGUGUUUCUACUACAUCUGUUUUGUGAGAUGACAUGUAAUAUUACAUUGGAUGCUGAGUAUAUGGUUUGAAAUGAAUUGAUGGGUUAUGUGUUUAAUGUAUUUUGUUAUCCAUUGUGUAGGAGUUUAACUAGCAGAGUGAUUUGCAUAUCAUUAACGCAAGCAUUUAGUGUUUUUACAAAAGUUGAAAUGCUGUCCACCCGGCUAGAAUAAAACAAUUGUAUGCUAUCGCUCCUGGAGCAAGAAAAGCGCUUGUUACAUCCCACGUGAAAGGGGCCCCGCAAACUUCUGCUGUUCAAAUCAUGGAUCCACGUUUCCAUUUGUAAAUUGAUUAAUCCUGAAAGUCAUUCUUUUACUGAUAAAAAGGAUUGAAUGGACAAGAUGUCUCUCCCUCAUAAAAGAGUUCUAAUAGGGGAGUAUUGUCCAGCUCAGAGUUAACUCUACUUUUAAAGUAUAUUGCAUUGUUUGUGUCAAAGUAAGAUUCAUCUAGUAUGCCUCAUUGAUUAUGGGGUAAUAAUAAAAUGGUAUUUUUAAUAGAGAUUAGACAAUUUCUGAAAUUUAUAAGUGAGGUAAUCUUAAUCUUCUAAACUACUGUAUUAUAUUUGUAUGGGUAAACUGAAAGCAAUUUGCAGACCCAGAAGAGGAUUAAUAAAUAAUAUAAUAAUCUCACUAGGAGCCAAAUUAUGCAAAGAGGCUAUCCAAAGUACGCACUAACGGGUUAACAUAGAAACAUAGAAUGUGACGGCAGAUAAGAACCAUUCGGCCCAUCUAGUCUGCCCAAUUUUCUAAAUACUUUCAUUAGUCCCUAGCCUUAUCUUAUAGUUAGGAUAGCUUUAUGCCUAUCCCACGCAUGCUUAAACUCCUUUACUGUGUUAACCUCUACCACUUCAGCUGGAAUAGCCAUGCAUCCACUACCCUCUCAGUAAAGUAAUACUUCCUGAUAUUAUUUUUAAACCUUUUCCUUCUAAUUUAAGACUAUGUCCUCUUGGUUAAACUUGUUUUCUUGAUAAGCGUAUAACAUUUAGGUUUGUGGUUAGACUUUUGAUACUCAAUUUGAAAUAUGUCCCAACUACAUCCAUGCAUGGCACCAGGUACAGGAAGCAAUAUGCGUUUUAAAAAUUUGCUAAGUCUUAGUGUUUUCAAUAUAUUAUAACAAUUGAAAAGUACCUAACCGCAUGUCUGCAUUACACUCAUGACACAGACUGUCAGUAUUGCAAGCCCUAUAUGAAGGCUAUGCUUUCAUUGUCGAUGUAUAUACCCCUAGACAACCUUGCUUUAUAUACACAAUUUAACUAUACAUUAAACCUUUAAAAGUUUAUUAUUAUUAUAUCUGUGUGGUACACGAAGAGGGGUACACAAAGAGGGGGGUGUGAGUUCGGUAAUCCCGACCUGCAUAUGGAAUAUGCUUCCUCCUUGUUUACUUUGGUUCCUUGUUGGUCUGUGACUGGCCCUUUUUGACCCCAAAUUAAUUUCUUGGGAAGAUUCAUGAAAAAGAUACAGCAAGUUGUUUUGAUAGAAAGAAAGAAGGAAAAGGUAUGUUGUAUCAGUCACAAGGAUUGUGAUCCUAAGCAGGCGAGACAAAGAAAUUUUGAAAGUGAUAGGAGAUUGAGUCAGAAAAGUUUUAAAGGUAGAGUAUUUGGUCAAAGGGUCUAACUUUUGUAGAGGUAGCAACUUCAGCAUUGGUGGAACACACUGUUCUAAUUGUGGAUAGCAGGGUCACUGGAAAAAUGAGUGCCCAAACCCACCCCCACAGAUUCCUCAAUACCAACCACAGCUUCCAACCACUGGCGUACAUACCAGGGUCGCAGGGGUCGCGACUGCGACCGGGCCCGGCCCACCAGGGGGCCCGGCCGCCCCUGCGACCCGGUAUGUACGCCCAGGGCCAGCCUCUUCCCCUGGGGGGCCCAGGAGCCGAUCACCCCAGGGCCCCCCUGAGGCUGGCCCUGCUGACCCCGGGUGGCCGGUCGGGCAGGCAGGCGGGCGCACGAGGGAGCACUCAGUGCUUCCUCUUCAGCUCCCUCGCGCACCGCAAUGAUACCGGAGCCGGAAGAUGACGUCAUCUUCCGGCGCCGGCAUCCCUACGCGGCGCGCGAGGGAGCUGAAGAGGAAGCAGUGAGUGCUCCCUCGCGCGCCCGCCUGCCUGCCCGACCGGCCACCCGCCCAGGAGCCCCACUGGACCCCAGGGAAUAAUCCCCCCCAGCACUCCAAGAGGUAAGGAGGCUGGGGGGAUUAUAUAAAAAAAAAAAAAAUCAUGUGUGAGUGUUAGUGUGAGUGUUAGUGUGUGUGAGUGUUAGAGUGAGUGUGAGUGUUAGUGUGUGUGAGUGUUAGAGUGAGUGUUAGUGUGUGUGAGUGUUAGAGUGAGUGUGAGUGUGUGAGUGUUAGUGUGUGUGAGUGUUAGAGUGAGUGUUAGUGUGUGUGAGUGUUAGUGUGUGUGAGUGUGAGUGUUAGUGUGUGUCUGCUAGUGAGUGUAGUGUUAGUGUGUGUCUGCUAGUGAGUGUCAGUGAGUGUGUUACUGUGUGUGUCUUACUGAGUGUGUGUGUUAGUGAGUCUGUUUGAUGUCUGUUAGUGAGUGUGUGUUUGUCAAUGAGAGUGUAUGUUUUGUAAGUGAGUGUGUAUGUAUGUCUGUCGCUGACUGUAUCUCUGUCAGUAAAUGUGUGUGUCUGUUAGCUAGUGUGUAUGCGUCUGUAAGUGAGAGUGUGUGUGUCUUCAGCACUUACCUUUCUCCAGCGCCGGACUCCCUUGGUGCUGAGGAUCCCUCAGCCUCUCAGCUCCGAAUGCGACCGCGCACGCAUUCAAACCGCCCAUAGGAAAGCAUUACUCAAUGCUUUCCUAUGGACGUUCAGUGUGCUCCUCUAGCGGCUGUCCAUGAGACAGCCACUAGAGGCUGGAUUAACCCUCAGUGAAACAUAGCAGUUUCUCUGAAACUGCUAUGUUUUCAGCUGCAGGGUUAAAACUAGAGGGACCUGACACCCAGAUAACUUCAUUGAGCUGAUGUGAUCUGGGUGUCUGUAGUGGUCCUUUAAAGGACCACUAUAGUGCCAGGAAAACAUACUCGUUUUCCUGGCACUAUAGUGCCCUGAGGGUGCCCCCACCCUCAGGGACCCCCUCCCGCCCGGCUCUGGAAAGGGGUAAAACUUACCUUUUUCCACCGCUGGGCGGAGAGCUCUCCUCCUCCGAUCCUCCUCUUCUCCUCCCCGUCGGCUGAAUGCGCACGCGCGGCAAGAGCUGCGCGCGCAUUCAGCCGGUCACAUAGGAAAGCAUUCAUAAUGCUUUCCUAUGGAAGCUGGCGUGCUCUCACUGUGAAAAUCACAGUGAGAAGCACGCAAGCGCCUCUAGCGGCUGUCAAUGGGACAGCCACUAGAGGAAAUAGGGGAAGGCUUAACCCAUUCAUAAACACAGCAGUUUCUGAAACUGCUAUGUUUAUGAAAAAAUGUGUUAACCCUAGCUCGACCUGGCACCCAGACCACUUCAUUAAGCUGAAGUGGUCUGGGUGCCUAGAGUGGUCCUUUAAGUGUGUGUGCAUCUGCAUGCACUGGCGUACAUACCGCGGUCGCAGGGGUCGCAGCCCUGUAACCCCUGCGACCAGGUGCCCACCGCCAUGUGUUGCGGCCCGGCCCGCGCGGGGGGGGGGGCCCACGGAUCAAUUUUCGCACCGGGGCCCCAUGGGUCAUGUGUACGCCACUGCUUCCAACCCUCUACCCACACCCAACAACCCCAGCCUAAUACACAGAUGGUUCAUGUUUUUAAUAUUUUAUAUAGUUUUAGGUGUUAAUCCAAGAGUAUUGAAUUAUUUAGUAUUAUUAUAGUAAUUAAUUUUGAGUAUCAAAUCAAGGUUCAAGUUUAGGAACAGAGUUUUAUUGGGAAUGUAUAUGUAUAUGUUAGUGUUUUAAUAUUCAUCCUAACAAGCAUUUCUAUAGAGUGAAUGCUUCUCUCAUCCGUACAAAGGCAUUCCAAAGGGAUAUUAUGUAAAACGUCAUAGAAGACAGAUUGCAUAAAAUAUAAGCAAAGAUAAGAGAAGUACAUGCUACACAAGUUAAGGGUUUAACCUUAAUCUCUAAUUUAAGUUUUAGCCUAGGUAAUUAAUUAAUUGAUGUUGUAUUGAUCCUUGUGUUUGUAUGAUUGUAGAGACAGUCCUGGAGUGUUUGUGCCGCCUGAUUUCUGGGACUACACACCAAUCUCUCUGGCUGACCAUGCAAUAAGUAUUUUGCAAUUACAUCUGUUUGGUCAUAAUCCAUACAGACUGAAGAAACUGAGAUACUUACUUAUGAGGACAUAAACUUUUCACGCAAGAACCUGGAAAGUCCUGAAGGUGCAGUGCUGUCUAAUACCGCUGGUUAUGUAAUAACCCUUUCAACCAUUGGGGUGUUGCACAGAGCAUUGUGGUGAAAAUCCAGCAAACAAAAGAAGAACUAUGUGGAAGCUGACAUUGUCUUGUUGUCAGCCAUAUUGCUACCCUUAGCCAUUUUAUGGAACAAAAUGUCUGGUGUCUAAACUGAUUUCUUUAUCCUCUGUGGAAGACUUAUUCUAUUUUUCUGAACUAUUGAACUAUUUUUAUUUUUGUAGAGUUAGCGGGAGAGAGAUGAAGUGUUAGCUGACCCAGGGAUGGAUGUACUAUGUGUGUUUUUGAUAUAUGUUGAGUGUGCCAACGACGGAUUCCCAUGUUUUGAGGAACUGCGUGAGCAUAUGACUGGUUCUGACUGGACCUUUGGAAUAGGGAAAUGGUUAAAAGAUAUAGGACGCAAGGUCCUGGUUGUGAUUAUUGUCAGAAUUUCAAGCUAGAUUAUAAUUUAUCUCAUGAAUUAAUAUGUAAGAAGUGUUUCCCAAUUCCUCCCGAUACCAAAGCUAUGUACUCACAGGUGCGGGUAUUAUAAGUCACAAGUGGUGUCAACUGUGAGGGGAUGACAUGUCUAACACGAUCGCGACCCUUAUUUGCUAUAAGUCCAGGUUCCAUUUUGUCUUAAACAUCGAUUUUCUAUACAUCUGUCUGCAAAAGUAUUAAGUGUCUUUUUUCCUGCUGAGUUUCUGUUUCUUGUAGACCACAUGAUUGCUUAGGAAUGUCAUAAUGUGGAAGUUUUUCUGUCCUGGGAGAAUGUUAACCAAUAAUAUGAGCAAGUUUUUGCUCAAAGAGGGGAAUGAAAGGAUAUGAAGUAGUUAACUUUUCUUGUUCAUAUGUAUUUUAUGCUUAGAUAAGGUUUAUAAUCAUUAGUGCUGACUGUAAGGAUAUGAAAUAGUUAAACUCUUUUUGCUUUAUAUGCUUUAAAAUAAUGUUUAAAAUAAUUAUGCAGACUUUGGCAGAUGAAUUUUGUACCAAGGUCUUCCUUCUAGAGGAUGUGUGACCUUGUGCGACCUCAGGACGUUCCUGUUCUGUCUUUAUUCAAAUGCUUAUCUUCUACUGCCACAGAAGUAUGUACUAUUAACUAUAAGGAAGCGAUAAAUUUCGUUGCUUGUGUGACAAACUGUGUAUAAAUGCUAGC